AAGAGUUCUGGGCCGCACGCGCGCUACACUGACGGAGCCAGCGAGUACUUCCUUGGCCGAAAGGCCCGGGUAAUCUUGUGAAACUCCGUCGUGCUGGGGAUAGAGCAUUGCAAUUAUUGCUCUUCAACGAGGAAUCCCUAGUAAGCGCAAGUCAUCAGCUUGCGUUGAUUACGUCCCUGCCCUUUGUACACACCGCCCGUCGCUACUACCGAUUGAAUGGUUCAGUGAGGCUUUCGGACUGGCCCAGAGAGGUGGGCAACUACCACUCAGGGCCGGAAAGUUCUCCAAACUCGGUCAUUUAGAGGAAGUAAAAGUCGUAACAAGGUCUCCGUUGGUGAACCAGCGGAGGGAUCAUUGCUGGAAU
rnacentral:rRNA from 1 species